CGCGAAAGUCCCGAAAGGGAUUAGUAGAGUGGCAAACGGGUGAGUAACACGUGGGUGACCUGCCUUCGAGUGGGGGAUAACGUCCCGAAAGGGACGCUAAUACCGCAUGACAUCCUGCCUUUGAAGAGGUGGAGAUCAAAGCUGGGGAUCGCAAGACCUAGCGCUCAAAGAGGGGCCCGCGCCUGAUUAGCUAGUUGGUGGGGUAACGGCUCACCAAGGCAACGAUCAGUACCCGGCCUGAGAGGGCGGACGGACACACUGGGACUGAGACACGGCCCAGACUCCUACGGGAGGCAGCAGUGGGGAAUUGUUCGCAAUGGGCGCAAGCCUGACGACGCAACGCCGCGUGGAGGAUGAAGACCUUCGGGUCGUAAACUCCUUUCGAUCGAGACGAACGGCUUCCGGGUGAACAAUCCGGAAGAAUGACGGUACCGAGAGAAGAAGCCCCGGCUAACUCCGUGCCAGCAGCCGCGGUAAUACGGGGGGGGCAAGCGUUGUUCGGAAUUACUGGGCGUAAAGGGCUCGUAGGCGGCCAACUAAGUCAGACGUGAAAUCCCCAGGCUUAACCUGGGAACUGCGUCUGAUACUGGAUGGCUUGAGAUUGGGAGAGGGAUGCGGAAUUCCAGGUGUAGCGGUGAAAUGCGUAGAUAUCUGGAGGAACACCGGUGGCGAAGGCGACAUCCUGGACCAACACUGACGCUGAGGAGCGAAAGCCAGGGGAGCAAACGGGAUUAGAUA
rnacentral:rRNA from 1 species